GAUGAACGCUGGCGGCGUGCCUAAUACAUGCAAGUCGAGCGAAUGGAUUAAGAGCUUGCUCUUAUGAAGUUAGCGGCGGACGGGUGAGUAACACGUGGGUAACCUGCCCAUAAGACUGGGAUAACUCCGGGAAACCGGGGCUAAUACCGGAUAACAUUUUGAACCGCAUGGUUCGAAAUUGAAAGGCGGCUUCGGCUGUCACUUAUGGAUGGACCCGCGCCGCAUUAGCUAGUUGGGGAGGUAACGGCUCACCAAGGCAACGAUGCGUAGCCGACGUGAGAGGUUGAUCGGCCACGCUGGGACUGAGACACGGCCAAGACUCCUACGGGAGGUAGCAGUAGGGAAUCUUCCGCAAUGGACGAAAGUCUGACGGAGCAACGCCGCGUGAGUGAUGAAGGCUUUCGGGUCGUAAAACUCUGUUGUUAGGGAAGAACAAGUGCUAGUUGAAUAAGCUGGCACCUUGACGGUACCUAACCAGAAAGCCACGGCUAACUACGUGCCAGCCGCCGCAGUAA
rnacentral:rRNA from 1 species